rnacentral:rRNA from 1 species
GACGAACGCUGGCGGCGUGCCUAUUACAUGCAAGUAGAACGCUGAAGGAGGAGCUUGCUUCUCUGGAUGAGUUGCGAACGGGUGAGUAACGCGUAGGUAACCUGCCUGGUAGCGGGGGAUAACUAUUGGAAACGAUAGCUAAUACCGCAUAAUAGUAGAUGUUGCAUGACAUUUGCUUAAAAGGUGCAAUUGCAUCACUACCAGAUGGACCUGCGUUGUAUUAGCUAGUUGGUGAGGUAACGGCUCACCAAGGCGACGAUACAUAGCCGACCUGAGAGGGUGAUCGGCCACACUGGGACUGAGACACGGCCCAGACUCCUACGGGAGGCAGCAGUAGGGAAUCUUCGGCAAUGGACGGAAGUCUGACCGAGCAACGCCGCGUGAGUGAAGAAGGUUUUCGGAUCGUAAAGCUCUGUUGUAAGAGAAGAACGAGUGUGAGAGUGGAAAGUUCACACUGUGACGGUAUCUUACCAGAAAG